UGCGAACGGCUCAUUAGAGCUUAUAUAAAGUUUUCGGCUGCCUUUUAGGCUAUCUUCGACAAAUUGAAGCUAAUACAUGCAUACAUGUCCUUUUCGAAGGGCGCAAUAUUAGAACUACUGGCUUGCCGGCGGUUGAUUUCAAUUAUCGUUUCGAUAUCGGAAGGCGACUUCCGAUGGCCGUAAACUGUGUACGCCCUAUCACCCAGCAGGUUAAUCAUUCGCUAACCAGGGGUAUUACGGGUAACGGAGAACUAGGGUUCGUCUCCGGAGAAGAAGCCUUUGAAAGGCUACUACAUCCAAGGAAGGCAGCAGGCGCGUAACUUAUCCACUACCACAGUGAGAUAGUAACUAGUCUUAACUAUUGACUGAUCUUUUAGGUUAGUCAUGGUCCAUGAGUUGAGCCUAAAUAGCUCUUCGAGGACCAAGUGGAGGGCAAGUCUGGUGCCAGCAGCCGCGGUAAUUCCAGCUCCACUAGCGUAAAAUAUUACUGCUGCGGUUAAAAAGCUCGUAGUUGAAUCUAGUCGUGUCCGUUGGGUUUGUCGUUGGCGUUAACUCGUCUCUGACGUUAAUUCACGGCCGAUUUUUGCUGGUUUGCUGUUGGUCUUCGGAUCUUCGGUGGCUAGCGAGUUACUUUGAUCAAAUCAGAGUGCUCAAAACAGGCGAAAGCUUGUAUGAUUUCUCGAGGAAUAACAGAAGAGGACUUCGGUUCUAUUUGUUGGUUCCAGAAUCGUUUAAUGGUUAAGAGGGACAAUUCGGGGGCAAACGUAUCCUCGCGCGAGGGGUGAAAUCCGUAGACCGUGAGGAGACGACCAAUAGCGAA
rnacentral:rRNA from 1 species